CACAUCUCCAUCGCGAAUUUUAUUGAUUCAGCAGAAGAAUUCUCCGCGUAAAUACCUGAUCCAAGUGCUGCUCGCUGCUCCACACAUGUGAACCGGCACCUGGCAGCCACCCCGCAGCACCGGAUCCAUUGAUCCCAGCAAUCUGCCGGCAGCGCCUACUAAGCAAAGCCAAAAAAUAAACCAUCAACCGUCCACACCCCCCACCCCCUCCACCUUCACCCUUCUCGUUCUGCGGCGGCUGCAGCAAAGAAGGAAGAAUUAAGAAAGAAGGGAGGAGGAGCAGAAGAGGCGAGGAAAAUGGUGGACGCCGCCAGACAAAUGCUCGAUGAGCUGAUGGGUCGCAACCGAAAUCUGCAUCCCUCGGAGGCCGGCGCCAAGGUCAACUGGGAGGACCCCGAGUUCUGCCAGUUCUACAAUGUCAAGUUCUGCCCGCACGACCUGUUCAUCAAUACCCGCGCCGAUCUGGGUCCCUGCACCCGCAUCCACGACGAGGAGGCCAGGCAUCUGUAUGAGGAGGCCAGACCAUCGCAAAGGAAACGGCAGUACGAGGACGAAUUCUUGCGCUUUUGCAAUGUAAUGCUGCACGAUGUGGACCGAAAGAUCCAGAAGGGCAAGCAGCGCCUGCAGCUGAUGCAGCGCGACCAGCCCGUUGUACCCGCCCCGCUGAGCAGGCACCAGGAGCAGCUGGCCAACCUGACGGCGCGCAUCAAUAAGCUGCUAUCGGAGGCCGAGGAGGCGGGCAUACGGGGCGAUGUUGAUCAGGCCCAGGACCUGAUGACCCUCUGCGAUGAGCUAAAGGACGAGAGGGAGCAGCUAGUGCGGCAGUUUGAGGCCACGAGUCACAAGGCCAACAGUAGUAGCACCAGCAGCCUCCAGCAGUUGAGCGGUGAUGAACAACCACAGCCACAGCCGUUGCCCAGGAGUCCUGGAGCCAACUCCAAUGAAGGUGGUCUCGUCAGGGAGGAACCCCUAAGCCCCGGCCAGCCUGCUGCUGCUGCUGAGGCCACAGAGGCUGUAAACACAUCUGCUACGGAAGAAGGUAGCGAAGGAGCUGCUCCUGCUCCUGCUCCUGCCACUCCCACCAGCAGCGAGGAGAAACCAGAGUCUAAGCCCGCUGGCUGGUCGCACGAAGCCUUGCCGGAGAAACAGAUGAAGGUGUGCGAAAUAUGCGGCGCCUUUCUGAUUGUCGGCGAUGCCCAGCAACGUAUCGAGGACCAUCUGAUGGGCAAGCAGCAUCUGGGCUAUUCCAAGCUGCGCAAUGCCGUUGCCGAGAUCAACGAGGCGCGCCAAAAGGAGCGCGAGCAGGAGGAUCGACGCCGGCGAGAGGGUCGCGUCCAGCGCUUCCACACCUACGAUAACAGAAGGGACUCACGCAACAACGACUACAGGGAGCGAAGUCGCGACUAUGGCCAGAAUCGCCAGCCCUCAGAUCGGCGACACCAUCACCACAAAUCGCAUCACAGCUCGCAUCAUUCGUAUUCGCGCAGUGGUGGAGGUGGAGGUGGCUCUGCUGGCGGCGGAGGAGGCGGUGGCAACCGUAACAACCGUCACCAUAAUCAUAGUCACAGCCACUACAGGCACGAUAGCCGCGAAAGGCAUUGUCGCAGCCGAAGUCGCAGCCGCUACUAGAGACCAAAAACCAUUUAAAAACAAGAAAAAAAAGAUAAAAGGAUGAGAGAAUAAUAUUAAUAAAAAAGUCAAGUUAAUUAAACAAACGCUGAGACGGGAAGUCCGAAAUUUUUGGAAACGAAGCCUUUCCUAAAAACAUGAACAAGACCAACCCAAUCGACACUCAAUCUCCGUAAGCAGCAGCUGCCCCCGGCAGAGGCAGCAUCGAGGUACCCAAAAAAAAAAAAAAAAAAAAAAAAAAAAAAAUACCAUUAACACAAUUUCCAAAAUAAUAUGAAAAAAAAAAAAAAAAAAAAAAAGAAACAGUAUAUCUGAGAGCUGGCUAGAACGAGUGCGCAGAGGAGCAACGCAGGAGACGACUGCAGGAUGUAUGAUGAUGAUGAUGACCAACGGAAUAGGAAAUGAGGUGUUGAAAGAAGAUUUGUUUUAGAAGAAGAGCCACCCCAGGUAACUUCUAUGCCACUCCUCUCCCCACACAUAAAUGUUUCUUCAAGACAGACACAAGGCGGCUCCAAACUAUCAACGAUCAACGAACGAACACGAAUGAUCACGAAUGAACUGAUCCUGGAUCAGUGAUCGCAGUACAGAGAGUGAAAGAGAGAAGGGAAUGAGAAGAAGAAGAAGAAGAGACAGAAGAAAAAACCGUGUAGAAGCGUAUUAGGCAUGAAUGAUACCUACCAAAACGAGGUGAAUUUCUCAAUUUCUCUCAUCUAUACUUAUAAAUUAUCUAUAAAUCCCUGAUACCACAAUCCCACCUUUGCCCCAAUAUCCCACAUUCUGCGAUCAAUUCAUUUAAAGAGAACAUGUUCCAGCGAGUACAUCCCAUAUCCCACAUCCCCCCAUUCACCUAUCCCCCAUCCAAAGUUCCUUUUCGGUUAUUAUUAAUUCACCUAGCGCAAAUUAAUCAAUUGAAUUGAAUCGAGCUCCCCAUUGGGGGGCGCAAAAAGCAAGCAAAUAAGCAGAAAAGUAAAGUAUAUUUAGUCUAACCCAAUCAAGAAAUUCGAUGAUCGAUCGCCUGUAGUCAUGUAACGAUGUUUUUAAUUAUGAAUUACGAUGAUAUAUGAGUAAGGUUACCCACAUUCUACAUAUAUGUAUAUAUAGAUAUAUAUAUCUUAAUAUAUGUAUAUAUACAUAUAUAUUGAGAAAGACUCGCAAUAAUUUUCUAAUAAAGAUCAAAGCAAAAACCCGAAAACAAA